UAGGGAAUAUUAGAAAUGGACGAAAGUCUGAUCUAGCGACACCGCGUGUGCGAUGAAGGCCUUCGGGUUGUAAAGCACUUUUUGGAAGGAAUAGGAAGGAAGGUACUUCCAGAAUAAGUCUCGGCUAACUACGCGCCAGCAGCCGCGGUAACACGUAGGAGGCAAACGUUAUCCGGAUUUACUGGGCGUAAAGCGCGUGUAGGUGGUUUUGUAAGUAGGGCGUGAAAGCUCCCGGCUCAACUGGGAGAGGCCGUUCUAAACUGCAGAACUAGAGGAUGGUAGAGGGAGGUGGAAUUCCAGGUGUAGCGGUAGAAUGCGCAGAUAUCUGGAGGAACACCAGUGGCGAAAGCGGCCUCCUGGACCAUUCCUGACACUCAGACGCGAAAGCUAGGGUAGCAAACGG
rnacentral:rRNA from 1 species